GACGAACGCUGGCGGCGUGCUUAACACAUGCAAGUCGAACGGAAAGGCCUCUUUCGGGGGGUACUCGAGUGGCGAACGGGUGAGUAACACGUGAGUAACCUGCCCUUGACUUUGGGAUAACUUCAGGAAACUGGGGCUAAUACCGGAUAGGAGCUCCUGCUGCAUGGAGGGGGUUGGAAAGUUUCGGCGGUUGGGGAUGGACUCGCGGCUUAUCAGCUUGUUGGUGGGGUAGUGGCUUACCAAGGCGUUGACGGGUAGCCGGCCUGAGAGGGUGACCGGCCGCAUUGGGACUGAGGUGCGGCCCAGACUCCUACGGGAGGCAGCAGUGGGGAAUAUUGCACAAUGGGUGGAAGCCUGAUGCAGCAACGCCGCGUGCGGGAUGACGGCCUUCGGGUUGUAAAAAGCUUUCGCCCAUGACGAAGCUUUGUGUGACGGUAGUGGGUAAAGAAGCACCGGCUAACUACGUG
rnacentral:rRNA from 1 species